rnacentral:rRNA from 1 species
UUUGAUCWUGGYAWKRGAUGAACGCUAGCGGCAGGCUUAAUACAUGCAAGUCGAACGGCAAGUUUGGUAGCAAUAUCGAACCUAGAGUGACGUACGGGUGCGUAACACGUAUGCAACCUACCCUUUACAGGAGGAUAGCUCGGGGAAACUCGAAUUAACCCUCCAUAAGAUCAUAKAAUGGCAUCAUUUAGUGAUUAAAACUCAGGUGGUAAAGGAUGGGCAWGCGUCUGAUUAGUUAGUUGGCGGGGUAAAGGCCCACCAAGACGAUGAUCAGUAGGGGACCUGAGAGGGUGAUCCCCCACACUGGCACUGAGAUACGGGCCAGACUCCUACGGGAGGCAGCAGUAGGGAAUAUUGGUCAAUGGAUGCAAGUCUGAACCAGCCAUGCCGCGUGCAGGAAGAAGGCCUUCUGGGUUGUAAACUGCUUUUACCAGGGGAUAAAAAUCUCAUGCGUGAGAAAUUGAAGGUACCUGGUGAAUAAGCCACGGCUAACUACGUGCCAGCAGCCGCGGUAAUACGUAGGUGGCAAGCGUUGUCCGGAUUUAUUGGGUUUAAAGGGUGCGUAGGCGGCCCUGUAAGUCAGUGGUGAAAUACUCUAGCUUAACUAGAGGGGUGCCAUUGAUACUGCAGGGCUUGAGUACAGAUGAGGUAGGCGGAAUUUGACGGUGUAGCGGKKAAAUGCWUAGAUAUCGUCAAGAACUCCGAUAGYGAAGGCAGCUUACUAAGCUGUAACUGACGCUGAGGCACGAAAGUGUGGGGGAUCAAACAGGAUUAGAUACCCCUGKUAGUCCACACUGUAAACGUUGAUGACUCGAUGUUKGCGAUACACAGCCAGCGUCCAARASCAAUCGUUAAGUYAUCCMCCUGGGGAGUWCGCCCGGGCACGGUGAAACUUCAAGGAAUUGACCGGGGUCCKCMCAA